GACGAACGCUGGCGGCGUGCUUAACACAUGCAAGUCGAACGGAAAGGCCCUGCUUUUGUGGGGUGCUCGAGUGGCGAACGGGUGAGUAACACGUGAGUAACCUGCCCUUGACUUUGGGAUAACUUCAGGAAACUGGGGCUAAUACCGGAUAGGAGCUCCUGCUGCAUGGUGUGGGUUGGAAAGUUUCGGCGGUUGGGGAUGGACUCGCGGCUUAUCCGCUUGUUGGUGGGGUAGUGGCUUACCAAGGCUUUGACGGGUAGCCGGCCUGAGAGGGUGACCGGCCACAUUGGGACUAAGAUACGGCCCAGACUCCUACGGGAGGCAGCAGUGGGGAAUAUUGCACAAUGGGCGGAAGCCUGAAGCAGCAACGCCGCGUGCGGGAUGACGGCCUUCGGGUUGUGAACCGCUUUCGCCUGAGACGAAGCGUGAGUGACGGUAAUGGGUAAAGAAGCACCGGCUAACUACGUG
rnacentral:rRNA from 1 species